UACAGAGGGUGCGAGCGUUGUCCGGAAUCACUGGGCGUAAAGGGCGCGUAGGCGGCCUGAUAAGUAGGGGGUGAAAUCUUGCGGCUCAACCGCAAGGCUGCCUCCUAGACUGUCAGGCUUGAGCACGGCAGAGGCUGGUGGAAUUCCCGGUGUAGCGGUGGAAUGCGUAGAGAUCGGGAAGAACAUCGGUGGCGAAGGCGGCCAGCUGGGCCGUUGCUGACGCUGAGGCGCGACAGCGUGGGGAGCAAACAGG
rnacentral:rRNA from 1 species